GAGCCAACAAAUCUUAGAGACUGUGAAAGCCUUUAACGAAGAAGGACUGAAAGACGGAGGGACAGAUAGACGGACGGAAGGACGGACACCACGUUGUCGCGGAGGUUUUUCAGGAAGUUUAUCGACUGUGAAUCUUCAGACGCAGAUGUCUGCUAUAUUGGAAGUAAAGUUUCCCAGCUGGAAAUAGUUCUGAGGAGAAAUCUGACUUGAUCAGCUGGUGUUUCCAGGAGAGUAACUCCUGCGUUCCACAUGUCGGCGUCGGCUGAUUGGAUCCAGGAGGACGCCGCUCAUUGAUUAGCCUUGGCAGAA